rnacentral:tRNA from 1 species
GCCGGGGUGGCGGAAUUGGAAGACGCACCCGCAAACUAGGCGGGCGGACCACGGUCCACUGGGGGUUCGAAUCCCUCACCCGGCG